UCCCGUUUGACACGGGCAGUCCCUCUAGAGUGCCCAACUGAAUGAUGGCAACUAGAGGCAAGGGUUGCGCUCGUUGCGGGACUUAACCCAACAUCUCACGACACGAGCUGACGACAGCCAUGCAGCAUCUGUGAACGGGCUCCGAAGAGCGACCCUGAUCUCUCAAGAUCUUCCCGUACAUGUCAAGCCCAGGUAAGGUUCUUCGCGUUGCGUCGAAUUAAACCACAUGCUCCACCGCUUGUGCGGGCCCCCGUCAAUUCCUUUGAGUUUCAGCCUUGCGGCCGUACUCCCCAGGCGGGGUGCUUAAUGCGUUAGCUGCGGCACGGAGGGAGUCGACACCCCCCACACCUAGCACCCAUCGUUUACAGCUGGGACUAC
rnacentral:misc_RNA from 1 species